rnacentral:rRNA from 1 species
UCCUACGGGAGGCAGCAGUGGGGGAUAUUGCCCAAUGGGGGAAACCCUGAUGCAGCGACGCCGCGUGAGGGAAGACGGUUUUCGGAUUGUAAACCUCUGUCUUUGGGGACGAAUUGAGACGGUACCUAAGGAGGAAGCUCCGGCUAACUACGUGCCAGCAGCCGCGGUAAUACGUAGGGAGCGAGCGUUAUCCGGAUUUAUUGGGUGUAAAGGGUGCGUAGACGGGAAUUUAAGUUAGUUGUGAAAUCCCUCGGCUCAACUGAGGAACUGCAACUAAAACUGGAUUUCUUGAGUGCUGGAGAGGA